ensembl:lncRNA
AUCCGAUUUAUAAUUUUGGAUGUAUGUGUAAUCACGAAUUAUAAUGGAGGUGCAUAAACAAAAACAACAUAUUUACAGUAUGCAAUGUUUGCCUAUUAUCUGUUACCCUUCAGGCAGAAACAGCACAUUAGUGCCUCUAUUUGCAGGAUUUCUCCAUUUAAAAAAUGCACAACAUGUUGUCUUAAGUCAACAAAGUCGGAACUGCUGGGCAAGUCUGUCUCACUGUCUAUGCUAUUAGAUAGAGAGCAAUCAGGGCAGCUGUUCACCCCAUGUUACUGGGGAUAUACCAGAGACAAAGGGUUGUUCAUAUUGCAACCAUAUAUGCAGCAGUCUAAGGUACUGCAUCUCAGUGCCAGAGGUGUCCCUACAGACACCCUGGUUCGAUUCCCGGCUGUAUCACAACCGGCCGUGAUUGGGAGUCCAACAGGGCGGACCAUUGGCCCAGAGUUGUCUGGGUUUGGCCGGAGUAGGCCGUCAUUGUAAAUAAGAAUUUGUUCUUAACUGACUUGCCUAGUUAAAAUAAUAAUAAUCUCGAAUGCCGGUUCACCGGUAUGACCAAAAUCACAAACCACUUUUUUUUGGGUUCAAGCACUCAAGAACUGUUGUCCACUAAAGAUGCAAAUAAUCUGUGUGCAUCUGCCAUAUUGUCUGUCCAAUAUCCGGACGACCUGUCCCUAGAGAUUUCUAUACAGUUCAUCUGUUUCCCGUAACGUGUUGAGGCCAGCAAUUAAGGAGAAUGAGAGGCUUAAUUAAAGAUAUUGCAGAACAGCUGUAUUUCAAGCACCACUCCCUUCUGCCACCAGUUUCCCCGAUGUUUCGACAGCGAUCAAGCUGUUUUUUACCAUCCCUGUAGCUGUCGCUUCUGUCGGAGAAGUCGUUUUCUAAACUAAAACUCAUAAAGAACUACCUAAGAAGCAUUAGGCUCUCGGUCUGAUAUGUGCUGAGUAAAAUCUACUCAUUGCAAUGGCGCCGUCAUUGCCUUGACCACGGCAUUUGUUCACCGAUAUCCCCUUAUACUUUCAAUCAGUUGCAUUUUUUUUUUCAAGGUCUUUCAGUCCGAUUCAUGAAGCCCGAGAAACAAACACUUAGCUUCCUAGUACAUGGAACAUUGUUUAUGAAUUACUUUUUGGAGCGUUACUCGGGAUAAGACCCAGAUGCAGACAGCUAGAGUCACAGAUGUUUAUUGACCCAAACAGGGGGCAGGCAAAAGACAGGUCAAAGUCAGGCAGAGGUCUGUAAUCCAAGGCAGAGUCAAUAAGGUACAGAACAGCAGGCAGGCUCGGGGUCAGGACAGGCAGAAUGGUCAGAACCAGGGAAACUAGGGAACUGUCACGACUUCCACCGAAGUCGGUCCCACUCCUUGUUCGGGCGGUCACCAACCUUCUAGCCAUCAUUGAUCCAUUUUUUAUUUUCCAUUGGUUUUGUCUUGUCUUCCUUCACACCUGGUUCCAAUCCCAUCAAUUACAUGUUCUGUAUUUAACCCUCUGUUUCCCCUCAUGUUCUGUCGGAGAUUGUUUUAUUGUAUGUUUGUGCAAGUCAUAUGUCGAUGUGCGGCGGGUUUUGUACCCACUUCUGUUAUUUUUUGUAUAUUUUGGUUUUUGGAGUUUUAUGAGCAUUUAUUAAACGACUCCGUUUUACCAAGUUUGUUUUCCUGCGCCUGACUUCCCUGCCACUGACACGCACCCAUUACAG